rnacentral:lncRNA from 1 species
UGUUUGUACUCACACAUGGUACGAUUAGGUCCCACUGAAAGAGCACGCACAUCAGGGCUUACAUCAUCGAGCGGUAAUCUCCAAAUCUAAGAAGAUGACACCUAAUUAGUAAAAUGUUCAAAUAAGAUAUACAAGACAGGAAUAUACACUCACUUAUAUGAUCUUUGAACCACUUAGGAAACUCUUUGUUGUACAUUUUCUUUUUUUU